UACGUAGGGGGCAAGCGUUGUCCGGAAUCAUUGGGCGUAAAGAGCGUAUAGGCGGCCCGGUAAGUCCGCUGUGAAAGUCCAGGGCUCAACCCUGGGAUGCCGGUGGAUACUGUCGGGCUCGAGUCCGGAAGAGGAGUGUGGAAUUCCUGGUGUAGCGGUGAAAUGCGCAGAUAAUCAGGAGGAACACCGGUGGCGAAGGCGGGUCUCGUGGGCCGAUACUGACGCUGAGGAGCGAAAGCGUGGGGAGCAAACAGG
rnacentral:rRNA from 1 species